rnacentral:tRNA from 2 species
GCGAGAGUGGCGGAAUUGGUAGACGCACUGGAUUUAGGUUCCAGCGCCGCAAGGCGUGGGGGUUCGAGUCCCUUCUCUCGCA